rnacentral:rRNA from 1 species
AUUGAACGCUGGCGGCAGGCUUAACACAUGCAAGUCGAGCGGAGAUGAGGUGCUUGCACCUUAUCUUAGCGGCGGACGGGUGAGUAAUGCUUAGGAAUCUGCCUAUUAGUGGGGGACAACAUUCCGAAAGGAAUGCUAAUACCGCAUACGUCCUACGGGAGAAAGCAGGGGAUCUUCGGACCUUGCGCUAAUAGAUGAGCCUAAGUCGGAUUAGCGUGUUGGUGGGGUAAAGGCCUACAAAGGCGACGAUCUGUAGCGGGUCUGAGAGGAUGAUCCGCCACACUGGGACUGAGACACGGCGCAGACUCCUACGGGAGGCAGCAGUGGGGAAUAUUGGACAAUGGGGGGAACCCUGAUCCAGCCAUGCCGCGUGUGUGAAGAAGGCCUUAUGGUUGUAAAGCACUUUAAGCGAGGAGGAGGCUACUGAGACUAAUACUCUUGGAUAGUGGACGUUACUCGCAGAAUAAGCACCGGCUAACUCUGUGCCAGCAGCCGCCGCAGUAA